AUUGAACGCUAGCGGGAUGCCUUACACAUGCAAGUCGAACGCGUGGCGGACGGGUGCGUAAUAUAUCGUAACGUGCCCAGUAGCGGGGGAUAACUACUCGAAAGAAUGGCUAAUCACGCAUACAAUUAGAGCGGCCGAAAUCGGAUUAGCUAGUUGGUGUGGUACAGGCUCACCAAGGCAACGAUCCGGAGCUGGUUUGCGAGGAGGCCCAGCCAAACGGGGAGUGAGAAACGGCCCAGAGUCCUAAGGGAGGCAGCAGUGGGGAAUUUUGGACAAUGGGGGAAACCCUGAUCCAGCCAUACCGCGUGUAUGAGAAGGCCUUCGGGUUGUAAAGUACUUUUAGCAGGGAAGCGGUAUCUGCAGAAUAAGCACCGGCUAACUACGUGCCAGCAGCCGCGGUAAUAC
rnacentral:rRNA from 1 species